AAUCAGUCCAUGGAUCACCAAAGUCUGCUUUAAUAAUUAAAAAAUCUUUCCUUAUGUCAUCAUGACUAAAGAGGCUUAAACUGGCUAAGAAUGCACCUGAGAGGAAAUUUCUUUUAAUUGUAAUGUUGGUACUUGGGUUCAUAAAGAACUGUCAGAAGCAGUUCUUUAUUUAAUGUUUCACUAUUGAUAUUAUUUUAAAAUUUCAUACAGCAAUUAAGUGCAUUGGACAACUCAUUGUAUGAAGAAAGGAAGAAACCGGAAACAGAAAUGUAUAGAAGUGCCUUUCUACUUCACUAAUGUUAGUUGCUUUACAUGUUAUCUAUUCAAAUACAUAUAGAUGUUUAGAAGAUAAACUGAUUUAGAAAUAUUGACCCAUAUAUGAAAUAUUAUUUUAAAUGAUAUAGUAAUUUAGAUAGAUUCAUGCAGCAAGCAUCAAUUCUCAUUUAUUUGAGUGGGCAAAAUAUUUUUUUUCAGGAAUUAUGGAGUGCUUGGUUUGUAAAACUAGUAGAACUUGCAACUUUUAACCUAAUUUUAAAAAUCUGCCUGUGUAACCUAUGCACAUAUAUAUCUCCAUUAGUGUGCAGUGAGAAAAAUGGGUUUGCUUUGACAUUCCUAAGAAAGUCAUCUGGUCCUAGGAAGGAUAUCCUAGGAUACUUUUGGCCUCUUCUUCAGAGAAUGAGGAGAGAAGACUGCUUUCACAGGGGAAAAUUUAAACUGGCCUUCUCCCAAUCCUCUUGUAAGCCUCUGCUACUCUUACCUUUUUGAUGACAGAGGUUUGACACUGGAAAAGGCAAAAAGGGGACAGACUGGAAUUGUUCUGUGGUAUGUCCUGAACAUGUUGCCAAAAGUGGUGAAGCCAUGCCAGCCCUGGAAAUGUAAUGGUUCAUUUCCUCCCACUGGCAUCAGGGAGUAAUAUAAGUUGAAGGAAGAAUGAACAAGCAAAGAAAACUGAUCUCAUUACACUAGCUGAGGCUUCACUAAUAUACUUUGCUUGUCUUUGAAACUUUAGUUCUAAUAAUGCAGGCUAAAUUAGUGUUUGCUUUUUUGCUGUAGCACCACAUUGCUCGCCCAUAUUCGGUUUGUCAACAACAAUAGUUCCAGUGUCAUGUUCCCAUGUAGUAUUGGUACAUCAAGUGUCCCCAUUCCAUAAGUGUGCAUUUGCUUUUCUUUUUUUUCUUUUUUUGCAUUUGUGGUGGGUUUUUUUUUUUUGCACUAGUUGUCACAAUGGCACAGAUGACAAUUCAGGUAAGGGUGACCAUCUGGCAGGUCUGAACCAGGUUCGGGCCAACUGGAUGGUCUGGAUUCUGUUUCUGCCACUGUAUUAUGCUUAUAGUGGUAGGGAAAGAAGUUGCAGCGAGUUGUGAAUCAUAUGGGGGUUUCCAUAUCAAUAUACCAAAACUGCCAAAUUGACACCCUGACAGGGUAAAUUUAAUCCACUCCAGGAACAGACAACUACAUGAGGAAAGGGGCCUAUUUCCUACCCUGAUAUCCAUAUGUUGGCUCUACCUGCAAUUAAAAUACUUCUGUCUCCCUCUGUUUCUCUUCCAAAAGUGACGUCACAGGCAAAUUUACGCAUGCCCAAAAGUCAAAGACCAGUCCAGAGUAUCAAUUCUCCAGUCUGAUCUUGGGCACAACUAGUCUAGAGCUGAGUCCAGAUCAUCCAGCCAAGCCAAAAACAGUUCAACCUUGUUAGAUGGUCACCUUACCUUAGCUGUCCCCAUCAUCACAGCUAGCAGAUGCACAUGGAGCUGUGGGAGAUCUUCUGGCCUUUGGCAAGUGCUUUUACUGAUGUCAGUAAGUGUGCCUGCUGAUAGCUGGGAGCUCUCCAGAGUUCUGGUGGUUGUCUGUUGCAGUGGUGGAAGAGCACAGACCCAAUCUCUCCCCCUUUCCUUGCACUGCCAAGAAAAGAGGAUGGUGGUGAUGACAGAUUGGUUUGGAAAAUGAAAAUACAUCAUGUUGCUGCAAUGUCAUGGUCAUUACAUCCUGCUGCUUCAAAGUCAAUCCACAUCAUGCUGUUCUUCCACCCAGUCAGUGAUGGCACAUAGCAGGGCAUGUACCCUGGAAAAGAUCACAAAAGGCAAGAACAAUGUGGAUGUCUAACUAGGCCCCUUGUUUUCCUCAAAGAUGGAAGUGGAAGCAGUGGCCAAAAAUUCAAUUUUAGGAGUCUUAGGAUGGGUGACAUCUGGCUUGACAACAAUGCAGUUCUAGGCUGCAUCAAUAGAAGUAUAAUAUUUAGAUAAAGGGAAGUUAUAGUACCAUUCUUUUCUACUUGCCCAGAGUUCAUCUGAAAUACUGUGUCCAGUUCUGGGCACCACAACAAAAGGUUAUUGACAAUAUGGAGGCUAUCCAAAGAAGUAAGACCGUAAGGUUAAAAGGUUUCAAAACUCUACCCUAUGAGAAAUGGCUUAGUAAGUUGGGUAUGUUUAGCUUGGGGAAGAGAAGCUUAAGAGGGGAAAUGAUAGCUUGUUAUCUGCUUCUCCAGAGACUGAGGAAAGAUUAGUGGAUUCAAACUCCAGGAAAAAAAAUUCACCUAAGCAUAAGGAAACUUCCUGAUGGUAAGAACUGUCUGAUGGUGGAAUGCAUUUCCUUGGUGCGUGGCAGAGUGUCCUUUGGAGGUUUUUAAACAGGGGCCAGAUUGCUAUCUGCUUUGAUUUAGUAUCCCUGCAUGGCAGGGGGUUUGGACUGCCUGACUUUGAGAUCUCGUCCAACUCUAUGGUUCUGUUAGAAAUCACAAUGUUGAUAACAACUCUUUGAUUUUUAAACUUUAAAAAAUACUCAGGCAUAUGCUUUUUUGCAUUUUAAAUUCAUGAUUAUUAGGGUAAAAUGUCAUUUGCUCCUACUAUCCCGAUGCUAACACAUUUACAUUGGAAUAGAAUAUUAGUCUGGCUGGCUCCCAACAUAUUUGUAACUGUCCAGGUGCUGAAACCAGGCUUGUUUGCUGGGGUCCUAUCACCUGCAAUCUCAUAGGUGCUUAUGUGAGCUGUGGACUUUGACCCUCAUAUGCACCACUGAGUAAAUAACACAUACAUACAGAUAGCAGCUGCUGAAGAUUGUAGAGUGGGCUUUGGCCAAUCUACUGCACUUCUCUGUAUUCCAGGCAGAGUCUGUUCCACACCCUUCAAGCUAGCCUGCUACCUUUUGGGGUGAUGGUGGGUGAUUUUGCAUCAGUAGGCUUCUAUAGGUUUGUUGAUGUCUGUAUGUUGAAGGUGAGUGGGGAGGGGGGAGCAUUUUGUCCUUUAUCUCAGGGAAUAUAAUCUCUUAAGAUAUCCCUAUGACAGUCUAUAGAACAGUCUCAUCUAUCAACUAUAUAGUGUUAAGAAUGCAAUGAUAAACGUUAUAAGUAAAGAAGAUAAAGCUGUGGCUCCUAAACUGUGACCCAUAAAGAAGAACCUGAAAGAGCUUAUUCAGAGUUUGCACUCAAGAGAGUUGGCAUCCCUUUUCUUGUUUUUGACUACUUUGAUACUAUCUUUUGUAAUCAGAAGAUGCUCUCUGCUAUUGUUUGGACAUCUUCAUGUCCACCUUUGAUGUCAAAUUAGUGUACACAUUCACUGCCUAAUGAUUUUUGUAGCUAAUCCAGUGUCUACAGAUGGAGGCAAUGGAAUUGGCUACACAAGAUAAUAAAAGGGGCAUAUUGUCCAUCCUUGCUGUAGAUGGCAUUGAGCCAGGUGGAUCAAUAUUUUGACAUGGUGCCAGGCAGUUUUCUAUAUGUUCUAAAGGGUAUGAGUAGGCAGCAGCUAACCAGAAGGAAAGGGAGAUUAAAGGUUUGUUAUCUGAACAUUUAAUCCUUGAACCAUAUAUUAUGUGUUUUUUUUUAAUCUUCUUGAAAACAAGAUGAUUGCACAAUUCACUGCAGGGAGGAAAAAUGUGUGGGAUCUGAUUGCGUUUACCUCCAAAAAUAGUAAAGGCACAUCCUAACACAUGCUUGCAAAGUUUAUUUACCAAUUUCUUCAGACACUAUGAAAACAAAUUCUGGGUCUGGGAUUUUCAUAAACAACAUGAGGGUGCUUUUGCUUCAGUAAAGUUUAGAUAAAUCAUUUGUACCUUUGUUUCCUUGAUUUAUUUCUCAUGUUUUUGCUAAGGCAGUUUGCAAAAUAAGAUUAAAACAGUGCAUGUAAAACAAUGCAUGAAACAGUAAAAUAAAAAAGAAUACAUACUAACUUUCUUUAGGUGAGAGAGCUUAUCUGAAAGCAUACUGGAAUGUUUUCAUGGUUCCAUCAAAUCUUUCUGAAAUGUGAGCAUCACAAAAACAAAGGCCCUUUGCGGCAUUUGCAGUACUGGUGUACUUCUGAGUCAAUGAGGGGGACUCCCCUUUUUGAAACGGAAGUCACAGGAAUGUUUAGAGGACAGGAGGUGAGUCCAAAGAGAUGUUUGCACAGUUUAUUCUGCCUCUGCUGGAUCUCCCCCAAGAUUAAGAGAUUCAAAGCUAACAUUUUAAGUAAAUAUACAUGUCUACACUGAUUUUUAAGAACAAAGAAAAGGCCAGUUUGAAGACACAUAACAACGGAGAAAUUUACCAGAAUUUACAGGGAGAGAAAAAGAAUGUGUUUUAAAAGAGUUCAUUGUGAAUACAAAAUGAAUGUACAUUUCAUUGUUCAUUUGAACAUUGUAUGUACUGCGGAUACUUUAGAAAAUGUUUAAUGCUAAUUAUUGCCAGGAAGUUCUCUUAUUGAAGACUGCAAUUUACAAUUGUGUUUUUCCUCCUCCAGCUAUUUCUAACCUGAUCCACCAAUCUGAAAACUAUGCCUUUGCAUUGUUUGCUAUAUAAAUAGGAAAGUGAUGCCUCAUUUCAUGCACUUGUAUUUCUGGUUGACCCUCAUGUAUUCUACAUCUAUCAAUUCACCCACAACUUGAAAAUAUAUUUUUAAAAAUCCAAAAAGCAAACCUUGACUUUGCCACCAUCACUUCAACAACCCAUAAUAACCACCACUACCUGUGCAUCCCUGGAGAGGUGGGAAGCGCCUUCAGUCGGUCUAAUGGGCAGAGGUCGUUGUUUGUAAGAGAGGGUGCUCUCCACAUCAAUGCCUUUGAGUUCCUUGUAAAACCUUUUGGUUAUUUGAACAUUUUUUCCAAGGGAAGGUUAUUUAGAUAGUUCACAGACAACAAAACAUGGAACAGGUAGACACCCUACUCCAUCUUGCAAUUACACUGUUGGUUUGGUAUAUCUCAUGCAACAUCCCACCAGGGGAGGAAAACACUCUCACAGAUGUUAUGAACCAUGUACUUAUUUGCAUUGCUUCGGAAAAGUUUUUCUGCUUGGGGAACCCCUCAGGGAUGGGCUGUUUAGGUGAUGGGUUUUACUUCGACUACCACAGACCCAUGGUGUAUGCCUGCCUGCUAUUUCAGAGGAUUAAUGAGAUAAUAAUGAAGAUUUGAGCCAAGUGCAUAUUAAUCAGCCCUUUGCUGGCUCAGGUAACCAAUUGUUUGCUCCUCUUCUGCAUCUGUCCAGAGAUCAGUAUGAUCAGUAUGUGAGACAUCAGUUACAUCCAGCCUUGUUAACCCUCAAUGAUAGCAGGGUGAUUCAUCCAGACUUUCACACAUUGAAGCCCACAAUGUGGAAGAUUUUUCUUUGAUCCCAUUCCUAAUUAAGUUAAGCUCUCUUCCACUGCAGCUCAUGAGACAUCAACAAGGUGCAUGCAUGCCUAUAAAUAGGGCAAGUUUUCUACAUUCCUUAAUCUUUGGAGGGUUUCUCCAAAAGAUGUGAAUGUUUUCCGUGUAUUGGUUUCUCUGUUUUGUGCAUUUUUUCUGACCUUUGUUAUUUGGAAGUUGUAUCUUGGGACUUCCUGUGUUCUGUGAGCCUUCUUGCUUUUGAGUCCACUAGUCAAGGAGUUCCUAAAGCGUUAUUAAAACUUAUAGACUCCCUGUUCUAGGGUCUACUGUUUAACGAAUCUUGGAACUGAUCCUGUUUAACUGUCUCAAGAUACCAUUUGAACCUAUGGCUUCUUGUGUCUUCAGAUUACUCAGGAAAAACAGCUUUUUCCUAAUAGCUGUUAUGUCUGCCGGGAGAGUGAGUGAGUUAUAUAGUAUGCAUGUGGAUACUAUCCUCACUUCCAUAGGAGUAAGGUAGUCUUGAGGCGAGACAUUUCCUUGUUACCAAAAGUUUUGUCUGUUUUCUAUUUAAAUCAGGACAUUAUUUUCCUAGCAUUCUUUAGGAAUCCUACCUCUGUUUUAGGGGGCAUUUUCUGCACUGCCUAAAUGUGUGUGGGGUAUAGACCUUUCUGUUUCCAUCACAUAUCUUAUUUUGUCAGUCCCAGAGACUUCCUGUGCUAAUCAUCGUCAAAGAUGAUUUUAUCUAUUUCUACUCAAGUUUCUUCAAGUGAGUUGUAGUGACUGUGACUGGUAUGAACUAGUAGGCAAAUGCCUAAGUGAGAAGUCACUCAGUUGGAGUGAUGGCAGCAUAAACUGCACUUCUAAUAUGGAUUCUUCAAUUUGACAUCUGUUUAUCCGCUGCUUGGUUCAGGCUUUUCAUUUUCAUAUCUUGCUGCAGACUGGGAACUUAUGUGGGACUUUUCUUUGUUUCUUGCCAUGUGCUCUCCCUGACUUCUGCCUCUGGUUUUUCAGCUCAGUCACUUUGAAGAGAGCAGAAGAUGAGCUGUGUUAGUUACUGGACUUUUUGAGACUAAUGUGAAAUUCGAUACACGAAAUUGUGAUGUUGAAGAUGAGUUCAAAGAGAAUUUAUUAGAGUUAGAUCAAACUCAAGAGUAAGAGAAUCUUAUGAGUAUAUUUAAAAGGUUUUGAAUUUAUUGUUAGCUAAAGUUGGUAUUUGGAUGUGAUAGAGAAUCUCCAUAUUAAAUUAUGAAGAAUAUUAGGAUUAAAUAAUAUGUAAAAGUCUUUAAAUAAAAGUUAAUGUAGAGUAGUGGUUCUCAACUUUUGGGUCCCCAGAUGUUUUGGCCUUCAACUCCCAGAAAUUUUAACCGCUGGUAAAUUGGCUUGGAUUUCUGGGAGUUGUAGACCAAAACACCUGGGGACCCACAUGUUGAGAACCACUGAUGUAGAGGAAGAUCUGUAACCAAGUUGGAAGUCAUUUGUUAUCUUCCCCCUUUUUCUGUUUUUUAUGGUCUAUAUGUUUAGUUUAGUUUAUUAUGUUAAUGUAGUUGGUCGUUGGUAGUUUGUCUUAUGUAAUUGUACCUUCAAUAUUGUUUUUUAAAUAUCAAAAAUGAUAUUUGAUGGUAAAAAUAGUAAAAACAAGAAUAAGGGUGAAAGAACUAGUGGCUGUCCCAACUUAUUUAUAAAACUUCGCUAAUUUUUUUCUUAUAAACAAGCCCCAGUUUUUGAAAUCUUUUAACUUGUUAAUGAGAUGGAACAAGCAAUUCAAAUACCAACUUAAAUAUAAUUACGAGCUUACCAGGUUUGGCUGUCAAUGUUGUCUGAAUUCUAGCUCCUUUUCAUUGCAAAAAGCCUUUUAAAGUUGUUAAAACACUAAUAAGAGAUUUCCUAUGAUGCUGAAAGCUUCUAUUUCUUCAAGAAAAGAUUGAACGCUUUUCACUUUGUUUCAUCUACCUGUUUCAUUUUUGCCUUGUUAAUAGUUGGGUCUUUUUUGUAAUUGUGCAAAAAUUAGUCAUCCCAUUGAAGUCAGAGAAAACCUCUCUGUGAGCAUAGUAGUUUUCGUGUACCCAAGGUUUACAGUAUGGUUGUUGUCAUCAUUUUCAUGUGUUUACUUUUCUUCUCAGCAGUUGCACUCUUUCAGUAUCGCAAGGGCUGUCAGAGAAAGGAGAAUGCAGGCUUGUUCUCUGUUGAUUGAAAAUCAGAAGGAAACUCUUGUGAUCGUGUGGUUGGCAGUGUAAUCAGUUCCUGAAGAGGUUUUCCAGUUUCUUCUCUGGAUGUCUUGAAAGAGGCUGGGGAGCUACUUGCACUAACUCAAGGGUAUCUCCAAAGGCCACAUCAGCCUUCAAAGGCCAACUUGUAAUGGUUAAAACUGAAUAAAUGUAACUACUCCUUCACAUAUUGUUCAAUAACCUGAGACACCAUAUCACACACCGUCCUCGGCUGUUGAUUAUGUUCUCAAAAUAACAACAAACACAAAACAAAAUGCAAGCACAACCAUGCAAGUGGAUUCUAAUUCAGAUUUCAAAAAUGCUUACCAUUUUUGUGUCAUCAGUGGGGUGGAUAGUGUGCAUGAAGUAGCACUACUCUGGGAGGAGCAGAUGGCAGAAUAAUAACCUCUAUCCUCACCAGGCACAGGGACAUUUACUUGGAAGAAAUUAUUACAAUUUCCAUUGGAGACAACUCCCUCAAGGAAGCAUGCUCAAGGUUGCUGCUCAAAUCACUUGCCAAGAGUAAUGCAGGUUGAACAUCCCUUAUCUGGAAUGCUGAACUACUCUGAAAUUGUCCUCAUGGGUCACUGAGAUAGUGACACCUUUCCUUUUCGGUUCAGUGGACAUGCAUUAGAAACAUAAAUGAAUGGCAUGUUUACACCUUGGUCCCAUCUCCAAAAUAUCUCACUAUGUGCUGAUAUACAUAUAUAGGUAUUACAAAAUCCAAAUAAAUCCCAGUUCUGGUCCCAAGCAUGUUGAAUGAUAUUUUACCUGUACCAAGUGUGACUGAUUAGCAACAACUGAAGAAGGAGUGACUGUUUUAGUACCUCUAGAUGUGGAUUGUGUAUAUACAAAUACAUAAACUUUGUUUAAAAAGGGAAGUAAGAUAGUGAAAUACAUUAAACAAAUCAUAUUACAGUGCUAGACUUACUAGGUAAUAACUAAAAUUAGAUAAGAGAUUUAAAACAAACAAUCUGAUAAGAAUAAUAAAGAUACACUUUUAGUGGUGAAGAGCUGGGGGGAAUACAGGAAGAACAUUCUUCUUUUUCUUCAUUCGUGCAGUCGUUUCUGACUCUUCAUGACCUCAUGGACCAGCCUAUGCCAGAGCUCUCUGUCGGCUGUCACCACCCUCAGUUCCCUCAAGAUCAAGCCAGUCACUUCAAGGAUACCAUCCAUCCAUCUUACCCUUGGUCGGUCUCUCUUCCUUUUUCCUUCCUUUUUCCUCAGCAUCAUGAUCUUUUCCAGGCUUUCCUGUCUCCUUAUGAUGUGGCCAAAAUACUUCAUCUUUGCCUCUAAUAUCCUUCCCUCCAGUGAACAGCCAGGCAUUAUUUCCUGGAGGAUGGACUGGUUGGAUCUUCUUGCGGUUCAAGGCACUCUCAGGAUUUUCCUCCCACACCACAGUUCAAAAGCAUCUAUCUUCCUUCACUCAGCCUUCCUUAUGGUCCAGCUCUCGCAACCAUAGGUUACUAUGGGGAAUACCAUUGCUUUAACUAUGCGGACCUUCGUUGCCAGUGUGAUGUCUUUGUUUUUCACUAUUUUAUCGAGUUUAGCUAUUGCUCUCCUCCCAAGAAGUAGACGUCUUCUGAUUUCCUGGCUGCAGUCUGCAUCUGCAGUGAUCUUCGUGCCUAGAAAUAUAAAGUAUGUCACUGCCUCCACGUUUUCUCCUAUUUGCCAGUUAUCAAUCGGUCUGGUUGCCAUAAAUGCAUCCUACAGUCCAGGUUCUUCCUCAACUUUGUAAGUCUUGUGUUCAAUCAAAGGCUUCCUUAAAAAGAUAGGUUUUAAGGCUCCUCCUAAACUCCAAAAGAGAGGGCACUUCUCUAAUUUCCCCUAAGAGGGCAUUCCAAAGAAGAGGUGCCACUCCAAAAAAAGAUGACAAUUUCCCCCUGCAAUGACAUUUGUAACCCAGGAACAUCACCGCCUUUCUCCAGGCAGAAAUACACCAUCAAAGCUGUCCUGACAGAUGGCCAUCCAGCUAUGAUAAUAAUGAAGAAAAACUGUUCCUAGUUUGAAAAUGUCAUUUCCUGUUUAAUUGUAUAGUCCUUACUUUGAAAGCAGUUGUACUUCAGAAAAUUUGUUUUUCUACCAAAAACUAAGUAAAUUGGUAGAUGCCAUUUAAUAAACUUUCCCCAUGUUUUUAUGAUAGAACCAAUGAGGAACUACAUUUAUAACCUAUAUAGACAUUGGAUGGACAUAUCCUGGGACCUACAGGUCUAUGUGGGGAUCUGUACCCUGCUCUCAUCAAGCCAGUGAUGGCACAAUAGGUUAAACCCUUGUGCUGCCUGAACUGCUGACUGGAAUGUUUGCAGUUUGAAUCCAUGAGAUGGGGUGAGCUCUCAUCUGUCAGCCCUAGCUUCCCAUGUAGGGACAUGAGAGAAGCCUCCCAGAAGGAUGAUAACACAUCCGGGCAUUCUUGGGCAACGUCUCUGUAGAUGGCCAAUUCUCUCACACCAGAAGCGACUUGCAGUAUGUUCUCAAGUCGCUUGUGACAUAAUAAAGAAAAGUUGCCAAGAAAGCAGAUUUAAUUCCUGAAUACAGUACAUCAUAUUUCCAAGAAAAACGCAGAAAACAGCAGAUAUUUGUAUCUGUCUCAUCUCAUUAAGGUUGCCAUAUUCAGACAUUUCAAAUCCAGGCAUCUAAUUUGAAUAUUGUAAAAUUAUUACAAUUUGGCAUAUUACUAAUUUGAAUUUUAAUCCUGCAAAUUACUCACAGUAAUCAUUGCAAACUUUUUUCCUCUAUAUUUUAGACUUUAUAGUAAUCCCAAUUUUGAGAGAACUAGUAUAGAGUAAUGUUUAAAGUGCUGUUUAAAGUUCACAUUCUUGCUUUGAAUGAUCGUGACAUUUAUUAAGUGAGCCUGGACCAUCACUACGUCUCAGCAAAUCUGCUUAACUGUAUUAUGGACAUUCAUAGCAACGCAGGAACGAUGUGAAGUGGCUGUCUAUAUUCUGGGAGCAGUAGUCAUAAUUAUAAUUGUGAUGGCUUUUUCUUGUACAGACACUUCAUUUUUAUUAUUAACAAAUAAAGGGUUUGUAUACAUAGAAGCAACACUUAAGGAAAACAAACAAAACAAACAGUACAUAGUAUAGAAAACAUACAAGAAAAACACGUAACUGAAUUAAUACAACUAUACUACAGGACAAAUGGGAAACAUGAUGACUUCCUCUUCUUAAGUUGUGGUUAUAAUUAGUUAAUGGACUUCCUCUAAAUAAAAGUGUUAAUUGUAUUUCUAUAUCAAGUGUAUCUCUCCAGAAUUACCACAUAUUCUAUGCCCCUGCAUUGUUUCAAAAAAUUAAUACCAAUAUCUCAACUUGUCGUAAAGUUUAACAUUGAUUUAUUCUCCAACAGCAUUGCCAAGUUACCAAUUUCUGCCAUAUCAUGUAUCUUCACCACAAUCUUCUUGUGUUGAUAUCAUAGUAAGGUAAAGAUUUUUCCCUGACAUUAAGUCUAGUCGAAUCCUACUGUUGGGGUGAUGCUCAUCUCCAUUUCUAAGCCGAAGAGCUGACAUUGUCCGUAGACACCUCCUAAGUCAUGUGGCCAGCAUGACUGCAUGGAGCACUGUUACCUUCCUGCCGGAGCAGUACCCAUUGAUCUACUCACAUUUGCAUUUUUUCAAUCUACUAGGUUGGCAGAAACUGGGGCUCCACUCUGCAGAUGCGAAUCGCCAACCUUUUGGUCAGCAAGUUUCCAGCUCAGUGGUUUAAUCCGCUGCUCCACCACAGCCCACGCAUAUCAUGUAUCUUCACCACAAUCUUCUUCUGUUGAUAUCAUAGUAUCUUUCCAUAUUUGAACAUAUUGCAGUCAUAUAUUCAUAUAUUGAAUAAAUUUCCAUGUUUCUUCUUUAACUAGGUAUUUAUCAUGCCUAGCAAAAAAAAAAUCUGGUUUUCUUUCCAUUUUCAGUUCAGUCUUUGAACAAUUUGUGAAUCUUUUUUUGGACUUGGUGUUUUUUUAACCUUUUAACCUUUUGUUCAUUUUUCCAGCAUUUAUUUAUGGCACAUUUCAAUACCAUUAAAUAUUAUCAAUACAUUUGAUAAAAGUUUUCCUUGAACUCAUAACUCAAAGUAAAUUUCAAACUAUUCAUCCAUGACCUUUCCCAUUGAUCUAGCUCAGUGGUUCUCAACCAGUGGGUCCCGAGGAGUUUUGGCCUACCACUCCCAGAAAUCCCAACCAGUUUACCAGCUGUUAGGAUUUCUGGGAGUUGAAGGCCAAACAUCUGGGGACCCACAGAUUGAGAACCAUUGAUCUGGGUGCAACUGGUUACCUAUGCUUUGUGAUCAUUUUAUCAUACACUCUUUUAUUUCUUCAUUCACCCUGAUUAUUAGUGAUCAGAAAAAGAUCUUGAAAAAAAUCUCAGAUUUCUUAAUUUUAAAACAAAGAUUUUAAGACAAAAAAAUUUGAAUCUUCAAAAAUAAUGUUCUUCUCCAUAUUUAUAUUUCCAUGCAUCAAAUUAUCCACAAUAUUAAAAAAAAGAAUUUUGGUAAUUUCCUUAGACCAUCUUUUACCUUCUUCUCUGAAAGUCUAUCAAUCUUUGGUGAUAGUUCCAAGAAACCCGAAACGGAAGAAGUCUGUGGCUGUCACUUGUUAAGAAGUUUCUUUGUUGACUCUUGUUGAUAUUUCGGGCUGUGGUGUCACUUGUGCUGUCUCCAGCAACUUGAUGCUUCAUCAGCAUGUCAGGAUUGGGAACCUGGACAUUUUAGAGCUUCCUCUGAGUCCCUUGAGCCGGGGAGGCAAUUCCCAUUGGUCCUGAUACCUCUAGGCCGACCAUCUCCAUCAUCUUCAUUCUGCUUCACUUUCUCUACAUUUGAAUAUCCCACCCUCCCUUAUCUCCUUCCUUCCUCCUCAGCCCUGCUCUAAGGUAAAGGUAAAGGUUUCCCCCUAACAUUAAGUCUUAUUGUGUCCGACUCCGGGGGUUGGUGCUCAUCUCUGUUUCUAAGCUGAAGAGCUGGCAUCGUCCAUAGACAACUCCAAGGUUAUGUGUCUGGCAUGACUGCAUGGAGAGCCAUUACCUUCCCACUGGAGUGGUACCUGUUGAUCUACUCACAUUUGCAUGUUUUUGAACUGCUAGGUUGGCAGAAGCUGGGGCUAACAGGGGGAGCUCACCCUGCUCCCCACAUUUGAACCACCGACUUUUCGGUCAGCAAGUUCAGCAGCUCAGCAAUUUAACCUGUUGUGCUACCUGGUGCCUUUUUGACUGGAUGCAGGAAAUUCUAUGUGCGACUUUAAACAGAAGGGAAAUAGGCAGGCAACUAAAGAUUGUGGUGCUGUUGUUGCUGCAAGAGGGGAAGAGAAAAUAAAAGACAUUGGGGAGGUGUGAUAGGGUCGUCUUAGGGUUUCCAGCAACUAAGUGAUACAUUUGUGAAACUCAGAUCUGCUUUUUAUGAAUUAGUACACAAUAUGUGGAAACACUCUAAGUAAAUGCAGUGAAUAAGGGCUUUCUCGUAUUUCAGGUUUGAGUGUUGGGACAACAGCUCUAGAUAACCGACGUCAAAGUUAUGUCCCAUGAUACGUUUAAAUUGUGCAAUCCUGUUUGUACUGUUGUUGGGCAUGAUGUGUAUUUCACAUGUUAGCAUGCCUCAAUGGGGAACAUUUUGUACCCUAGACCUUGUGCAUUUAACUGUAUUAGAUUGGUUGCAUAGAGAGGCUUUCUUUGUUUGCAGACGUCAAUAGCAUUGAUGGAAGAGAAAGUAGGAGGAGGAGCAACCUUGUUGAUGGCUCCCCACAUACACAUGCCAUUGAUCUUUUCAUUACCCAUGACAUGGACCCUCCAGCCAUGUGAGGUAUCCUGGACGGUGGGCCAAUAUGAAAUAUUCUGCUGCAUACUACAGGCACCCGUCAACUGGCUUCUGAUACAAGGGAGAAGGGAAGUCAAAUACACACACACACCCCUCAUAUGCUGGAUGUUAGUUCCAAGAACCAGCAUCCUUGAAAGGCAAGAUAUUCAUAUGCUGGACCAAGCACACCUGCAGAUCCUGUCCUGUGGCUGAGAAAUCUCCAGGAACCUUCAGAACGUCUCACCGAAGAUGUGACUAAUUACCGCCCCCCCCCCCCCCCCACAUACACACCCCCAUACAUACACACAAAACCUUUUACAGUAAAAAUGGGAAUUCACAUUUGUGCAAUAUACAUUUCAAAACCCCUUUUGAAUUAUUUAUUUAUCUACAGUUUUCUAAGUGUGAUUCUUGUUUCAAAAAUAAAAAGGUUUUUUUAAACAAUUCAACAGACAAUGUGUUCAUUUCCCAUGCCAGUUGCUUCCUUAGUCUCCAGAAGUAGUGCAGUCACCUUCCUUCCAAACACCGCUGAUGCCUUCAUUUUCAUUUUCCACUGUAAUUGUUGGGAGGCUAGCAACACUUGUAGCAGUGUUUUUGUCAAUCCAGUUAACUUACAUAGACUUAAAUAGAAAGAGGAUGCUCCUCCUAACAUGGGACACAGAGAGCCUUAAUAAUAGCAUCCUGUGCUGCUGAUACUCCCAUGUAUAUCCCUUUGUCCUCCAGCUGUUCACAACGAUUUGUGUUCUUCUAGAAGCUUCCUUCUUUAGUCCCUUUAGUCCCUUCACCAGAGGGAUGUCAUAAUCCAUCCAUAUCGCCAUGUUGUGAAGCAACGACAAAGUCGUUCCUUAUCUGUGAUGCAGAAGAGCUCAGGGUUUUUUUUUAAAGCAAUGCAAAAUCUAAGCUGUGUGGAGACCUGAAUUUAUUUGGAGCAUACCUAUACACCCAGCACAAUUCCUUCAGUUGAAAUUCUCCUAUUUGGGUGAAGAGGCUGGCAUCUGUUUUGUGCUUUCUUUCUCCCUUUUGGGGACAAUGUUUGUCACGGCAAUUUGAAGGCAGGCAAAUUAGAAAUGGCAAAUUGGAAAAGAAUACUCAGUAUCUCUAAUGAGUGUUUGGCAUGGAUCUUCACCAUAUACAGUUUAGCUGCCAGGAAGAAGAGUGAGAAUGGACACUCUCUUGCAGCCUGUGUUGCACUUCCCAAAAUAUUAGACAGUUACUUCAGAGUCCUCCCACUCACCAGCUCAAGUAUUUACAGAGAGAGCCAUCUUUUUACCUGGGUAAUUUAUUACAAUUUCCAGAUACCUAGAACCUAACAAAGCCACAACUCAUUACAAUUUGUAUCAUCACAAACCAGGACUCUUGUUGAUCAAAAAAGUUGAUCUGGUGAGAUUGGGAAUUUUAUGAUACAUUGUAACUUUGUAAAGAUUCACAACUAUAUUGUGUGAUUGGAUGAAAUUUAAACGCCAGUUUGUAUGCUUGAUUACUGAUUGGGAUUACUGUCUAUGUUUUAAGUUAUUUUAACUUUUGUAAGAUGUGUUAUUAUACUGUGAUUUUAUUGUGUUACUGUUUUUUUUUAUUGUAAUACUGUUUUGGGCUUGUCCCAGUGUAAGCCUCCCCAAGUCUUUUGAGAGAUGGAGCAGAGUAUAAAUAAAGUUUUAUUAUUAUAUUUA